rnacentral:rRNA from 1 species
ACGAACGCUGGCGGCGUGCUUCACACAUGCAAGUCGAACGCUGAAGCUCAGCUUUUGUUGGGUGGAUGAGUGGCGAACGGGUGAGUAACACGUGAGUAACCUGCCCCCUUCUUUGGGAUAACGCCCGGAAACGGGUGCUAAUACUGGAUAUUCACUGGUCUUCGCAUGGGGGUUGGUGGAAAGGGUUUUUCUGGUGGGGGAUGGGCUCGCGGCCUAUCAGCUUGUUGGUGGGGUGAUGGCCUACCAAGGCUUUGACGGGUAGCCGGCCUGAGAGGGUGACCGGUCACAUUGGGACGGAGAUACGGCCCAGACUCCUACGGGAGGCAGCAGUGGGGAAUAUUGCACAAUGGGCGCAAGCCUGAUGCAGCGACGCCGCGUGAGGGAUGGAGGCCUUCGGGUUGUGAACCUCUUUCGCUCAUGGUCAAGCCGCAACAAUGGUUGUGGUGAGGGUAGUGGGUAAAGAAGCGCCGGCUAACUACGUG